CUUGCUUCAAAAUAAUCUUGGGAAAGGAAUGGGCAUUGCUAUAUAUGAAACAAAAUCAGACGUGAGUUAGUAAUUGUUGAUGCUGAGCGAUGUGCACAUAGAGGUUUAUUGUAUUCUCUCCUUUUGUAUUUAUUUAAAAUUUUCCAUAACAGAAAGUUAAAAAUAAAAUGAAAAAAUAAUGCAAAUGUUAUUUGCCUAGGUAAAAUAAAGUGAUUAUAAUGUAUGUGUACUAAAAGAAACUUUUACAUGUUUCGUAAGCAGGGGAGCCAGGCUCAAACUGUCUUGAUUUCCACUAGCUACCUUGCAUCAGCUACAAAUCCCAUCACCUCCUUGGCUGAAGCUGAAAAGCAACUGGAAUGUGGGAAACUGCCAUAAGAUCUGGAUCUUCCCAUCACCGAAGUGAGCAGUUGAGGUUUGACACUCAGUGCUGCAGCUGCCAUAUUGCAACCAUGGGAGCAAAAUCGACGUGCUCAAGAUGACAGAGCAGAAAUAGAAAAGGAGUCUCAUUCCCUAAACAGCUGAACAGCCAUGAACUGCCUACCUCCCAGACCAGAGGACAUGAGAAAAAUGAAUUCCUAUUUUAUUAAACUACUGUAAUGGGAUUUCUGCUAUAUAGAGCUAAAAGUAAUCUCUAACUGACAUAUCAGCUUAUAAACUGUCCCAAAUGUAAGAAAUAUGUUCUUAUUAUUAAAUUCCCGGUUGGCGGGGGGGGAGGGUGGAUCAAAGUCAAAAAAAUUAAAUAUACAUUGUUUUGUAAGUAUAAGGCAAAAUAAUACAGUAAAAAUAUUAUCCUA
rnacentral:lncRNA from 1 species